rnacentral:rRNA from 1 species
GACGAACGCUGGCGGCGUGCUUAACACAUGCAAGUCGAACGGAAAGGCCCUGCUUUUGUGGGGUGCUCGAGUGGCGAACGGGUGAGUAACACGUGAGUAACCUGCCCUUGACUUUGGGAUAACUUCAGGAAACUGGGGCUAAUACCCGAUAGGAUCUCCUGCUGCAUGGUGGGGGUUGGAAAGUUUCGGCGGUUGGGGAUGGACUCGCGGCUUAUCAGCUUGUUGGUGGGGUAGUGGCUUACCAAGGCUUUGACGGGUAGCCGGCCUGAGAGGGUGACCGGCCACAUUGGGACUGAGGUACGGCCCAGAAUCCUACGGGAGGCAGCAGUGGGGAAUAUUGCACAAUGGGCGGAAGCCUGAUGCAGCAACGCCGCGUGCGGGAUGACGGCCUUCGGGUUGUAAACCGCUUUCGCCUGUGACGAAGCGUGAGUGACGGUAAUGGGUAAAGAAGCACCGGCUAACUACGUG